rnacentral:rRNA from 2 species
GGCGUUGCCUAUACAUGCAAGUCGAGCGGACAGAUGGGAGCUUGCUCCCUGAUGUUAGCGGCGGACGGGUGAGUAACACGUGGGUAACCUGCCUGUAAGACUGGGAUAACUCCGGGAAACCGGGGCUAAUACCGGAUGGUUGUUUGAACCGCAUGGUUCAGACAUAAAAGGUGGCUUCGGCUACCACUUACAGAUGGACCCGCGGCGCAUUAGCUAGUUGGUGAGGUAACGGCUCACCAAGGCGACGAUGCGUAGCCGACCUGAGAGGGUGAUCGGCCACACUGGGACUGAGACACGGCCCAGACUCCUACGGGAGGCAGCAGUAGGGAAUCUUCCGCAAUGGACGAAAGUCUGACGGAGCAACGCCGCGUGAGUGAUGAAGGUUUUCGGAUCGUAAAGCUCUGUUGUUAGGGAAGAACAAGUGCCGUUCAAAUAGGGCGGCACCUUGACGGUACCUAACCAGAAAGCCACGGCUAACUACGUGCCAGCAGCCGCGGUAAUACGUAGGUGGCAAGCGUUGUCCGGAAUUAUUGGGCGUAAAGGGCUCGCAGGCGGUUUCUUAAGUCUGAUGUGAAAGCCCCCGGCUCAACCGGGGAGGGUCAUUGGAAACUGGGGAACUUGAGUGCAGAAGAGGAGAGUGGAAUUCCACGUGUAGCGGUGAAAUGCGUAGAGAUGUGGAGGAACACCAGUGGCGAAGGCGACUCUCUGGUCUGUAACUGACGCUGAGGAGCGAAAGCGUGGGGAGCGAACAGGAUUAGAUACCCUGGUAGUCCACGCCGUAAACGAUGAGUGCUAAGUGUUAGGGGGUUUCCGCCCCUUAGUGCUGCAGCUAACGCAUUAAGCACUCCGCCUGGGGAGUACGGUCGCAAGACUGAAACUCAAAGGAAUUGACGGGGGCCCGCACAAGCGGUGGAGCAUGUGGUUUAAUUCGAAGCAACGCGAAGAACCUUACCAGGUCUUGACAUCCUCUGACAAUCCUAGAGAUAGGACGUCCCCUUCGGGGGCAGAGUGACAGGUGGUGCAUGGUUGUCGUCAGCUCGUGUCGUGAGAUGUUGGGGUUAAGUCCCGCAACGAGCGCAACCCUUUGAUCUUAAGUUGCCAGCAUUCCAGUUGGGCAACUCUAAAGGGGACUGGCCGGUGACAAACCCGGAGGAAAGGUGGGGGAUAACGUCCAAAUCAUCCUUGGCCCCUUAUGGACCUGGGGGUACCCACCCUGUUACAAUGGGCCAGAACCAAAGGGCGGCGGAAACCCCCGGGGGGUAGCCCAAUCCCCCCAAAAUUUUUUUCUCCCUUUUGGGAAACAAAAUCUUGGCAACUCCACCCGCGUGGAGACUGGGAAUCCCUUUUUAAAUCCCGGGAUAUACAAUCCCCCGGGGGGAAAAAAUUUUCCCGGGCCCUUUUUACCCACCGCCCC